AAUAAGUGCAGUUUUGCGUUGUUCAUAUCCAACAUUUGACCGUUCGUCUUAUUUAAAAAAAUUAUGAUUAGUAUUUUAAUUGUUAUUAGAUUAUAAAACAUGAAUAGUACUUUAUGUGUGACUGUUUUUUAAUUUUUUUUUAUAAAUUUUUCAAAUACGACGAAUGGUUAAAUGUUGGACACGCAUUCCCACGGCCGCACUUAUU
rfam:Oryza sativa (indica cultivar-group) chromosome 3, whole genome shotgun sequence.